ACUUGGAAGCACAGUGGAGGAACCCUGUUUGCAAAGCCAGCUAACCUCACUCUGUCCAUUCAUCAGGUGCUGGAUCUUCUGUCUUCCUGCCCCGGUCAGUUUCACUGAAAAGGAAGAACAGGGCAGCCGUGGGGUCAGAACCCGCGCACCUGAUCGCUCGGCACCUGCCUGCAGAGUCUUCUCAAAGCCAUCAAAAGAAUUAUGAAGUCUUUUCAAGAUCAAACGCCGAGGUUCUUCACAAAGGUUGUCACGACGAAUUAAUCUGCAGACCCUUCACCCCUCUUUCCCACUGUGCAGAAACGAGGGGACGGUUUCUCUCCCCUCUGCAUGGGCGGGCGAGGCUGCCACAGGACUCUGCGCCCUCCUCCCCACACUCCCCGUCUCCACCACCCUGCGCGCCUCUGCACCUGCCCCACUCUGCUCAGUUCCAGGAACUAAGACUGAAACACAGGAGUAGGGACCUUCGUGUUCUGCCCAAAUGAGGGAUUGACUGUAGAGCUUUUUGAUGAGGGACGUUUUGAGGGGGUGAUUCCGGAGGAAGGCACCAGUCUGCCUGUCAGCCAAGUUCAUUGGCCUGACUUCCUUCUGCUUCCACGGCAGAGCUGCCUCCCUACGUUCUGCGCGUUGAAUACAUUGUCUUCAUUGUUCGCGCUCCUGACUUGCUCCAAUCAACACAUUGCUUUAACUCCUUGAAAACAAGCUUGUUAGAGCUGUCUACAAUGCCAUGAGGUUCUAACUUCCUCCGAUUAAUUAGGAGGCUUAG
rnacentral:lncRNA from 1 species